rnacentral:rRNA from 1 species
CUCAGUUCGGAUUGGAGUCUGCAACCCGACUCCAUGAAGCUGGAUUCGCUAGUAAUCGCGCAUCAGCCACGGCGCGGUGAAUACGUUCCCGGGCCCUUGUACACACCGCCCGUCAAGCCAUGGAAGCCGGGGGUGCCUGAAGUGCGCUGCCGCAAGGAGCGCCCUAGGGUAAAACCGGUGACUGGGGCUAAGUCGUAACAAGGUAGC